rnacentral:rRNA from 1 species
UUAAUGUGUGGUAUCUUCCUGCCCAGUGACGAAAGUUAAACGGCCGCGGUAUCCUAACCGUGCAAAGGUAGCAUAAUCACUUGCCUAUUAAUUGUAGGCUAGAAUGAACGGAAAAACGAAAUAAGAACUGUCUCCGCUACAAAUAUAAAAAUUAAACUUCUUAUGAAGAUAUAAAAAUAGAUUCGAAGGACAAGAAGACCCUACAGAGCUUUAUUUUAACACACUAUAAAGUAUGGAAAAUUUGGUUGGGGCGACCGUGAAAUAUAAAACACUCAAAAAUAUGUAGAUUUAUUAAUCAAUGCAGUGACCCUAAAAAGAGCAAAAGAAAAGCUACCUUAGGGAUAACAGGCUAAUAUUAUUAAAGAGUUCAUAUCAAUAAUAAAGAUUGGCACCUCGAUGUUGGCUUAAGGAAUCAGUAUGGCGCAAAAGCUAUAUAGUGAUGGUUUGUUCCACCAGUUAUCC